GUGGGGAAUUUUGGACAAUGGGCGCAAGCCUGAUCCAGCAAUGCCGCGUGCAGGAAGAAGGCCUUCGGGUUGUAAACUGCUUUUGUACGGAACGAAAAGGCUCUGGUUAAUACCUGGGGCUCAUGACGGUACCGUAAGAAUAAGCACCGGCUAACUACGUGCCAGCAGCCGCGGUAAUACGUAGGGUGCAAGCGUUAAUCGGAAUUACUGGGCGUAAAGCGUGCGCAGGCGGUUUUGUAAGACAGGCGUGAAAUCCCCGGGCUCAACCUGGGAAUGGCGCUUGGGACUGCAAGGCUGGAGUGCGGCAGAGGGGGAUGGAAUUCCGCGUGUAGCAGUGAAAUGCGUAGAUAUGCGGAGGAACACCGAUGGCGAAGGCAAUCCCCUGGGCCUGCACUGACGCUCAUGCACGAAAGCGUGGGGAGCAAACAGGAUUAGAUACCCGUGUAGUCC
rnacentral:rRNA from 1 species